rnacentral:rRNA from 1 species
AACAGGAUUAGAUACCCUGGUAGUCCACGCCGUAAACGAUGUCGACUUGGAGGUUGUGCCCUUGAGGCGUGGCUUCCGGAGCUAACGCGUUAAGUCGACCGCCUGGGGAGUACGGCCGCAAGGUUAAAACUCAAAUGAAUUGACGGGGGCCCGCACAAGCGGUGGAGCAUGUGGUUUAAUUCGAUGCAACGCGAAGAACCUUACCUACUCUUGACAUCCAGAGAACUUUCCAGAGAUGGAUUGGUGCCUUCGGGAACUCUGAGACAGGUGCUGCAUGGCUGUCGUCAGCUCGUGUUGUGAAAUGUUGGGUUAAGUCCCGCAACGAGCGCAACCCUUAUCCUUUGUUGCCAGCGGUCCGGCCGGGAACUCAAAGGAGACUGCCAGUGAUAAACUGGAGGAAGGUGGGGAUGACGUCAAGUCAUCAUGGCCCUUACGAGUAGGGCUACACACGUGCUACAAUGGCGCAUACAAAGAGAAGCGACCUCGCGAGAGCAAGCGGACCUCAUAAAGUGCGUCGUAGUCCGGAUUGGAGUCUGCAACUCGACUCCAUGAAGUCGGAAUCGCUAGUAAUCGUAGAUCAGAAUGCUACGGUGAAUACGUUCCCGGGCCUUGUACACACCGCCCGUCACACCAUGGGAGUGGGUUGCAAAAGAAGUAGGUAGCUUAACCUUCGGGAGGGCGCUUACCACUUUGUGAUUCAUGACUGGGGUGAAGUCGUAACAAGGUAACC